rnacentral:piRNA from 1 species
UGGCAGGUUCUAACCAGGAGAGA